AUGGACCAUAUCCUCUCUGUGGACCUGGUCAGCACUCAUGAUCUGACCACUGUUCGUGUGACUAACGUGUACGCACCUCCCGAGAGGGCGGAGAAAAUUGCCUUCCUCGAUGAGCUGCGCCACCAUGCAACGAUCACGGUCCCCUGGCUCCUCAUGGGCGACUUCAAUCUCAUCCGCAACCCGGAGGACCGAAACAACUCUCACUUCUCUGCUCUAGAAGCCUCCUCCUUCAACGAAAUGAUCAACGAUCUCUGCCUGAUAGAGCUCCCCUUGCUUGAUCGCGCUUUCACUUGGUCCAACAGAAGGGACCAGCCCACUCUUGUCCGGUUGGACCGUAUGUUUGUUAAUGUUGUUUGGGAGGAAAAGUUUAUGGAUAGCUCCUUGACUUCCCUCUCCAGCCAUGUCUCUGACCAUCUUCCGCUUGUGGGUCGCUUCUCCUGCACCAUCCCUCGGUCGCCUGUCUUCCAUUUCAAGUUGGCGUUUGCGACUCACGCCUCCUUCCGGGCCGCUAUCACGACUGCAUGA
rnacentral:rRNA from 1 species